GAGAGAGAAUGGGGCCAUGAUCCCUGGAUCUGCAUGCGUCCUUUUUAAAGCUGGACUGUUGGACAUACUCGAUCAUGAAGCCCUCCAGCUUGUACAUUUGAUAAUGAAUUUUUUUGCACUCUUUCUCUCUCUCUCUCUCUCCUCUCUUCUUCCUCUAAGCUGACGAGUGAUGCACACACCCCAUACGUAUGGACUUUAGCGAUCGCACAAACUUAAUGCGGCCUCUCGAAUCACGGGAACGUUAUCUAAGGAACUUGAAGCUGGCGAUAUGUUCAUCGGUCUACGUCAAUGCAAGCUUGCCAUAAGCUUUCCACGUCUCCAUUUGAUUUAUUGGAUAUUUAUCUCCUGCAAUUUAGCUGGCCGAGUAACAAAUAUCUCCAGGGUCUCAUUAGUUACUUUGCCAUGGGCUGCCUGUUUGUUUGGAAGUGGUAACUUCGAAUGAGUUGAACAAUGGUCUUCAAGCAGUUAAAUUGCUAGUACACUGGCAUUUUUGGCCUCUGUGGGAUCACGAGAGCUGCAGCUCGCCUAAUUUGGCUUGUAUGGAUGGAAGCAUGUGGUUUUGUGGGAGAAAGGGGGGUCCCUUGAAAGAAGAUUGGGCAAGGUUGGGUGCUGAGGCUAUUGGCGGAGAAAUUAUUAGAUGGAUCAAAUCCGGUGGACCACUCCAAAUUACGGGGCACAUGUACAUGUACAGCGAAUAAUAGAAUGAAUUCUCACCCUUGCUUUGAUCUUGAAUUGUGCAAAUAGAAGAUCGGAAUAACGUGGCGAGUGAUUAUUGGAGUGGUCCACCUAUUUUUAUAUAAUAAUAAAAACUAUCCUAGAGGGCCAUCUUGUCAAAAUCCCUUCGUGCGAGCCUUUUUUCCAAAUCUUUACAGAAUUCCUAAUUGAGUUCUUGGAAUGGACUGCGAGGUUGCAAGUAGAGAUAUUUCUUUUAUCAAUCUCUUUUAUGCUUUGUGGCGUCUUAUCGUUUAGUAGCGAGUCACGUGAACGCCUUCUAAGGCCCUUCUCUUUCUCUUUUUGUGCUUUCACUUCCUUUCUUUUCCUUAUAAAAGGAAUCUAGACCCCAUCCCACCCUGGCUUAUUAAUCCUAGAUACUAGUUACUCAAUAGUUAGCCUUUUAACACCUUCCUCUAGUCCCCUCAUCCAUUCCCUACCCAUAUCUAUAGCCUUGCUCUCUCUCUCUCUCUCUCUCUCUCUCUCUCUC
rnacentral:lncRNA from 1 species